GACGAACGCUGGCGGCGUGCCUAAUACAUGCAAGUCGAACGCAGUGGGGACGGGUGAGUAACCCGUGGGUAACCUCCCAUCAGAGGGGAUAACACUUGGAAACAGGUGCUAAACCGAGACUGAUGGAUGGACCAGCGGUGCAUUAGCUAGUUGGUGAGGUAACGGCUAACCAAGGCCACGAAGCAUAGCCGACCUGAGAGGAUGAUCGGCCACACUGGGACUGAGACACGGCCCAGACUCCUACGGUAGGCAGCAGUAGGGAAUGUUCGGCAAUGGAAGAAAGUCUGACCCAGCCACCCCGCGUGAGUGAAGAAGGUUUUCGGAUCGUAAAACUCUGUUGUUAGAGAAGCGGUAUCUAACCAGAAAGCCACGGCUAACUACGUGCCAGCAGCCGCGGUAAUAC
rnacentral:rRNA from 1 species